rnacentral:lncRNA from 1 species
UUCUCAUUUCUAGUGCACCAAUCUGCAACACUGAGUGAGUGUCUGGCCCCAAACCCAAAGAAAAUGGGCUCUUAUCACGUAAUGAGAAUCUGUACUCUCUCACCAAGUGUUUUUGCUUUUCCUUUGCAGAGGAACUAGCCAAAGAGCGGGGGGAACAAGCUGCAGAGCUGGGUGAGUGUUCCUGAGCUUGGGCCCAAAGGCAAUGUCAAGGCAAUGUGCAGGGGAGGGUGGGCAGCUGGGACAGAGCAGCCCAGGGCUGGCCCCUCACCCUGAUGGAGAAGUGAGGAGUGUGGGGCUGCCCUGGGCAUGGGACACAGCCGGGAUGGCUGAAAGGAAUGGGGAUCAAGGUUAGGAUGGGGAGCGAGUUGCGGGGGUACCCCGCUCUACUCUGAUGCUUCCAGGACAGGGAUGUCCUCUGUAUGUCCCGAUUCACUUCCAGUUGUCUUUUGGUGGCAUCGUACUGAAAGCUACAAAAGUUUCUGUGCUGGUUGUUCUGCUUGCACAAGCCAUGCUCACAGAUGAACUUCACUCACUAUUAGUCUGGUCCCUCCUUUGGGAGCAAAGUUACAUUUGGCCACUUCCUAGAAGAAUAAAUUUGGGGGCGUAGACAUUGGAGCAGGCAUAGGACGAGAAGCUGUCCCCUCUGAUCAUGCAUUGCCUUUGCUUUCCUUUUGCAGCGGAACUGAAAGCAGAGCGGGGUGAGUGUCUCUCCCCAACAGAAAGAACUUCAUGUCUUCCAAUGGGAGCUAUGGCAGGAGAAGCUUUCCCCUCUGAUUAUGCAUUGCUUUUCUCUUUCUUUUGCAGAGGAAAAGAAUGCAAGGCUGGCACACCGAUCUGCAAGACUGCAGGAACUAGCCAAAGAGCGGGAGAAAAAAGAUGCAAAGCUCAGGGAACAAGCUGCAGAGCUGGCAUGGAGAAAGUUUCUGCUGCCUCACUAUACAGGUAGGUGUGUGUUAAGUUGCCCUCUGCAGUGCUUCUCCUGCCCUUGCUGGGGCAUGUUCAGGAGCCA